AUUAUGGCUCAGGAUGAACGCUAGCGGCAGGCUUAACACAUGCAAGUCGAGGGGCAUCGGGAGUAGCAAUACUGCCGGCGACCGGCGCAAGGGUGCGUAACGCGUGAGCAACAUGCCCGUAUCAGGGGGAUAAUCCAUGGAAACGUGGUCUAAUACCCCAUAGUAAUUAUGUAAGGCAUCUUAUAUAAUUUAAAGCUUUGGUGGAUACGGAUUGGCUCGCGUGACAUUAGCUGGAUGGUAAGGUAACGGCUUACCAUGGCUACGAUGUCUAGGGGUUCUGAGAGGAAGGUCCCCCCACACUGGAACUGAGACACGGUCCAGACUCCUACGGGAGGCAGCAGUGAGGAAUAUUGGACAAUGGAUGGAAAUCUGAUCCAGCCAUGCCGCGUGCAAGGGAAGACGGCCCUAUGGGUUGUAAACUGCUUUUGUAUGGGAGCAAUAAGGGCUACGUGUAGUCCGAUGAGAGUACCAUACGAAUAAGCACCGGCUAACUCCGUGCCAGCAGCGGC
rnacentral:rRNA from 1 species